GAGUUUGGUGGGAGAACAGUCUGAGAUAGACCUCGUCUGAUCUCCAGGGCAAGUUGCACCUGAUAGGGGAAGACUAUAGACAAGAUAAAUCUUUGGAUCUGUCUGUCUGCCAGAGAGAGCUCAAGAUGAACCCCUUCUGUCUGGACGUUAGCAUGGAUGUUUCUACAUCCCAGUAUGCUUUUCAACAGUCCCUACUGAAGAAGACUGGACCUGUUGGUUUAAAUUUAAUGCAUGUCAAAAAAUUGUGAAAAUGCCCAUCACAAUUUCCCAGAGCCCAAGGUGAUGUCUUCAAAUUGCUUGCUUGUGUCCAACCAGUUCAAAACCUAAAGAUAUUCCAUUUACAAUGUUAUCUAUGGGAAUAAGGAGAACGCACCACAAAAUAACUCGAUGCACCCAGACUUUACCGCUGUAAACAGCUUUAAUGGAUUUUCAGAAACAUUGGGAGCCCUCGGUUUCUGAGAAAUUACGUGAAACCUGCAGUUGAAUGGACAUUAAUAGCUUCUGAAUGUAGGAAAUACAUUUGGGUUUAGGCUUUUUGUGGGCAUUAAUGGUAACAGGGGAAAAAAACACUGCUGUCAUUCGUUAGGGCACAGGUUCCCUACAGUGAUCAUGUAUAGGCAGCAGGGGACCAUUUUCAGGACAGAGACAGUCUUCAAGUUUCUAUGUUGGCAAAUGUCUGUCCUGAUGAGGUGUCUUGGAGCAUGACACUGAAAAGCUCGAUCUAUUCUCCUGACACUCUGCCCUCCCUGUCGGGAAGUUAAAAGAAACUUUCCCUAUGAGGAUUUCGGCUUCACUGUCAUAAUAAUACCAUCAUUGUGAUGUGACUGGUAGAUGAAGUAGUAAGCAACAGAAUGAUCUAUUGUUUUGUAGCAGGGAUGCAUUCAUUGAUGUUGGAUUAAACUGUGGGGUUUGAUGAGCCCUAUUCUUCCUGAAUUUUCUGUUUUUGCUCCUUAUAAAGUAUAUUAGUUCUGUAUUAAUUCCAGUUCACAUGACAUGAAUGUUUUUCACAGUAAUAGAAAAUUGCUCAUGCUUGUUCCUGCUUUUUGAUUUACAUAUUGGAAAAACAUUUAGGUUCACUACACAAAGUUUCCUUUAUAGCAUAUAAGAGGCAUAGCAAAAUAGGGAAAAAUAUAACAAAAGAUUUUAUAAGUUUCCAUACCAUACUGGUUCCUACAUGCAUGUCCAUAUACUUCAUCUUCAGAACAUAUUUUCAAACUGUGUUCAUGUAUUAUUUCUCAAACAGAAGGCUGAUGUUGUGGACAUGUGCUCUGCUUUCUGGACAUAUUAGGUGUUCUGCUUUGUGUUUCUACUGAUUGAUUUAUGCAGAAAUAAAUGAAAAGCAAACCUCCUGGAAUUGGCACCUCAGCGCAGGCCCACAGUGAGUAAUCUCAGAAUGUGUACUAUCCAAGGCUCAAACUAAUGAGCUGGACUGAAUGAAAGCUUUCAUCAAAUCCACUUUAAACACUGUAAGCAGUGUUUCAGCCUGUAGGAGUCAUUCAGCAUGACUGGCUCUAUAAUGACCUCCAAAUGUGUUUUGUGUGAUUGCUGCCUUGCAGCCUCAGAGCCGAUUCAGACCAGAUCAGGCGCUGCGGCAAAAUGCCAGUCCUCCCAUUCAUUUGAGUGGGGGUAGUCGGUUUAGGCUGCAGCGGUGGGGGCCGCAAGAGAUGCCCGAGAAAAAAAAACGCAGCGACCUGCAGUGGAAAAGUUGAAACUGAAUCUAAAUUUGGAGAAAUGCAACCCGACGUCACACUGCAGUGGCCAAUCUGGCAAUCAGACUGGUUAAACUGCUCCAAGGUCAGCCUGAAAUAUCACUGAAACCAGGCGCUAUCCAGGCAGAGUUCAUGGACCAAACAAUGAUACUCUCCCAGUUGCGUCCUUCCUUGGUUUAUUUUGUGUACCCAGCUUCGACGUCUGUGUCUGGCUUGCUGUCUAUGCUGACAAAUAGUGAUACCAAGAAGCUUCCUUUGGUUUGUGCUCAUUUGUUUGAGAGAGACAGUGACAGAGAGACAGCGGUGGUUGAGCGACCUACAGAGUGAGUGAGGAGAGGGAGUGCCGGUAACGAGAAAGCCGGUGAAUCAGAGAAAUAAAAAUUUUAUUUUCCGAUUGUUUUACAGCGUUUACGUUCUCAAACAUGAAUAAACAUGCCCACACAACCCUGCAGCUAAUCACUGCAAUGCCUGAUUUGAUCUGAAUAUGGCCCCAGUCUCCCUCCCUCCUUUCUCUCACAGGAAAUUUGUACUUAUUUGUUUGAAGAUAAAUGUUGCUGGAUUUUCUGACUGAUAGGUUCAAAAUGAAGUGGUGCAUUUUUUAAAUAUACAGUAGAAUGUGAAACUGUGUCCAAAACCUUACUUUAAUCCUAACUGAAACAAUUUAACCUGACUUUAACUUAAAGAAGUCCUGGCCUUGGCCUGAUGAUGGUGCUAGUCAGAAUGGUAAAAAAAAAAGUAGCAGCCACAGUUAAAUGAUUGCACAUC